rnacentral:snRNA from 1 species
ACGCCAGAGGAUCAGAUCGUGACGUACACAGCUCUUGUCUUUUACCAGAGCUGUCCGGGRUCUGUCCUUACAUUAAAUGGCAGUUGUCAAUUUUUUGGAACWUUUUUUUUAUCAUACUU